rnacentral:ncRNA from 1 species
UGCAGGCGGAGCACUCCGCCGGCGGACGAGGGAGCCGUACCCGCACUCGCGACAAGACGGCCGCA